GGUCCUUAUGUUUUUACAGUCUUCUAGAGGAUAUGCAGAUAUGAAAUGCAGCUAAUGCUUGCUCUGAAAGGGACGGCUCAAUAAUAUCUGAGAAAUUUACUGGCUCCAGAUGUUCUUUGCAACAACAUUAUUUCUCCUGCCUAGGAGAAAAAAAAAACAAGGAAUGAUCCAGAGGAACCGUUGUUCUUCAGAUUUUCAGUUGUUCAAUAUGAUAUGUAAUAUGAAUGGCCCCUUCUAAGGGCUCACUAAAAUAAGGAAUAGCCUUGCACAGAAGAGUUGCUGAUUAUUAUUUGAAUGAAAGCCAAGUCACAGAGGAAAAGAAAUCUAGUUAGAUAAAAUAAUUUAGAGAUUAGUACUUUUCUACAUGUACGCUCUGCUUUAAGGAUAGAAUACAUUUUGAGAAUCAUGUUUCUAGCAGAAGCCUAUGACUUUAUCAGAAUGGUUCCAAUUCUGCUCAUGUCAGAUCUUUCUACAAGCACUGCUGUCUGGAAACUAUAUUUGUUUUGUACAGCAAGCUAGCUUUAAAAGGCCUUUUUCAUUCCCAAGGAUCAAUAUGAGCUACUUGGUUCUUUGUAGAAUUUUUUAUGAAGUAUUCCUAACCAAGGGCUUCAAAGUACCUCUAAUUUAAACUGCUGACUUGCAACUGCAGCUUGUUUUUACUCGGGAAUUUUCCCUUUUUCUAACACUAUUUUUGUAGCAAAGUAAAUCUGUUCUUUCUGGAAAUAGCUGUUUAAACUUGCAGUUCUGUGCAGUUCUUCUCUUUUGCUACACUUAAGUUAAAUCUGUAAUGUUUAUUUUGGAAAUGAGUACAUAGACCUAAGCACUAUUUUUGAUGGUUAUUGAUAUCAACUUUCUUCAAACCUGAAUCAUUAAAGCCACUCCUACUUACGUUCCUUUUCCCCCUAUUAUUGUUUCUAUAAUGCUUUUUUCUUGCCAUAUGAGAAAAAUAAACAGGCAACAGAACCUCUAUGUUCUGCUGUUCAUAUGCUGAACAUAUACAGUCUUUAGUCAUUAUGACUGGGAAAUAAAAUCCA
ensembl:lncRNA